rnacentral:rRNA from 1 species
CAAGGCUUAACACAUGCAAGUCGAGGGGCAGCAUUGGGAUAGCUUGCUAUUUCAGAUGGCGACCGGCGCACGGGUGAGUAACGCGUAUCCAACCUCCUGCCAGUAGGGAACAGCCCGGCGAAAGUCGGAUUAAUGCCCUAUGUUCUUCAAUGCGGACAUCUAAGUUGAAGGAAAGAUUCAUCGCUGGCAGAUGGGGAUGCGUCCGAUUAGCUUGCCGGCGGGGUAACGGCCCACCGGGGCGACGAUCGGUAGGGGUUCUGAGAGGAAGGUCCCCCACACUGGUACUGAGACACGGACCAGACUCCUACGGGAGGCAGCAGUGAGGAAUAUUGGUCAAUGGGCGUAAGCCUGAACCAGCCAAGUAGCGUGCAAGGACGACGGCCCUACGGGUUGUAAACUGCUUUUAUGCGGGGAUAAAGUGCGGCACGUGUGCCGCUUUGCAGGUACCGCAUGAAUAAGGACCGGCUAAUUCCGUGCCAGCAGCCGC